rnacentral:rRNA from 1 species
GUACCUACGAGGUGGGGAUAACGUAGCGAAAGUUACGCUAAUACCGCAUACGAUCUAUGGAUGAAAGUGGGGGAUCGCAAGACCUCAUGCUCCUGGAGCGGCCGAUAUCUGAUUAGCUAGUUGGUAGGGUAAAAGCCUACCAAGGCAUCGAUCAGUAGCUGGUCUGAGAGGACGGCCAGCCACACUGGAACUGAGACACGGUCCAG